rnacentral:rRNA from 1 species
GCCCUUCGGGGUACUCGAGCGGCGAACGGGUGAGUAACACGUGAGCAACCUGCCCUAGGCUUUGGGAUAACCCCGGGAAACCGGGGCUAAUACCGAAUAGGACCUGGCAUCGCAUGAUGCUGGGUGGAAAGUUUUUCGGCCUGGGAUGGGCUCGCGGCCUAUCAGCUUGUUGGUGGGGUGAUGGCCUACCAAGGCGACGACGGGUAGCCGGCCUGAGAGGGCGACCGGCCACACUGGGACUGAGACACGGCCCAGACUCCUACGGGAGGCAGCAGUGGGGAAUAUUGCACAAUGGGCGGAAGCCUGAUGCAGCGACGCCGCGUGAGGGAUGACGGCCUUCGGGUUGUAAACCUCUUUCAGCAGGGACGAAGCGUAAGUGACGGUACCUGCAGAAGAAGCGCCGGCCAACUACGUGCCAGCAGCCGCGGUAAGACGUAGGGCGCGAGCGUUGUCCGGAUUUAUUGGGCGUAAAGAGCUCGUAGGCGGCUUGUCGCGUCGACUGUGAAAACCCGCGGCUCAACUGCGGGCCUGCAGUCGAUACGGGCAGGCUAGAGUUCGGUAGGGGAGACUGGAAUUCCUGGUGUAGCGGUGAAAUGCGCAGAUAUCAGGAGGAACACCGGUGGCGAAGGCGGGUCUCUGGGCCGAUACUGACGCUGAG